GCCGUGGCCAUCUUACUGGGCAGCAUUGGAUGGUGUCCGAUCUCUAAUACUGCCUGGUAAUGAUGACUG
rnacentral:pre_miRNA from 1 species